UGGGGAAUAUUGCACAAUGGGGGAAACCCUGACGCAGCGACGCCGCGUGCGGGAUGAAGGCCUUCGGGUUGUAAAAAUCUUUUGUAUGGGAAGAAAAUGACAGUACCAUACGAAUAAGGACCGGCUAAUUACGUGCCAGCAGCCGCGGUAAUACGUAAGGUCCGAGCGUUGUCCGGAAUCAUUGGGCGUAAAGGGUACGUAGGCGGAUAAGCAAGUUAGAAGUGAAAUCCUAUAGCUCAACUAUAGUAAGCUUUUAAAACUGCUCAUCUUGAGGUAUGGAAGGGAAAGUGGAAUUCCUAGUGUAGCGGUGAAAUGCGCAGAUAUUAGGAGGAAUACCGGUGGCGAAGGCGACUUUCUGGCCAUAUACUGACGCUGAGGUACGAAAGCGUGGGUAGCAAACAGG
rnacentral:rRNA from 1 species